AGAUCCGGCAAGGAACGAAGCUAACGGACAAGGAACACCAUAAGCUAGACGGCAGUUAAUCGAUCGAGGUUUUAGGAGUAGCAAGCGUCUUUCCUUUCAGGUAAAAUGUUUUGACGUGACAGACUUCUAUCCUUGUUCAGAAGUCCGUAUUUUGGAAGUAUGUAAAUAAGAAGACGUCGAUCGAUAGUGCUGCAGUAGAUGCCAAGUCCUAGUUAUAAAUAUGGCUUAGUUGAACGGUUUUAAUGUUUUAUCCAAACUCUGAUAUGUAAAUAAAGUUUUAAACUGCGCUUUUAACCGUCUACUUUAUUUUGCAAACCGGGCUAUGCUUGAUGUGUGACAUCGCAUAAUAAGACCCUGACUUAUCGUACAUCGCUUCGGACGAUGUUACAAGUAUUGUAAAUAUUUCAAGUUUAUGAAAAUGUUUUAUGAAA